rnacentral:misc_RNA from 1 species
AACUAAUCAAAACAGUCAAACCAUUACAAAAUACAACAUCCAUCAUAACAUAUAGACAGAGAGAGCCUAGCAGCUAUGCCUGAUCGAAAUCUAAUGUGACGCGAGAAACUACAUCAUACUCAUAUCAUUACAUCACAGUGCACAUACAAAAUCACCACUAGUUUCAAUGUCAAGAUCAAUAUCUUCAUCCAUGUCAUCAUCGUCGUCGAGCUCAGCACUGCCUCCAACAAAACUACCUUGUUUCAGAGCAUCGGUCGGCUUACUCGCCUCUUGGAUUAGGAACAUAAUCUCUUCCAAGCUCUGAGAAGGAGCAUUUGCAUCUGCAUUUUGUAAGCUGUUAUGGUACUCAUCGGUGAGUUCGAUCGGGAGGUUCUUUAGAAACCAUGGGUGAGUUUUUAUCUCUGGGAUAGUUAUCCUCUGUUCAGGAUUGGCUACAAAG